GUACUCAUUUCAGCAGCACAUAUACUAAAAUUGGAAUGAUACAGAGCAGAUGAGCAUGGCCCCUGCACAAGUCUGGCAUGCAAAUUUGUGAAGUGGUCCAUAUUUUU